rnacentral:rRNA from 1 species
CAAGUCGAGCGAAUGGAUUAAGAGCUUGCUCUUAUGAAGUUAGCGGCGGACGGGUGAGUAACACGUGGGUAACCUGCCCAUAAGACUGGGAUAACUCCGGGAAACCGGGGCUAAUACCGGAUAACAUUUUGAACCGCAUGGUUCGAAAUUGAAAGGCGGCUUCGGCUGUCACUUAUGGAUGGACCCGCGUCGCAUUAGCUAGUUGGUGAGGUAACGGCUCACCAAGGCAACGAUGCGUAGCCGACCUGAGAGGGUGAUCGGCCACACUGNGACUGAGACACGGCCCAGACUCCUACGGGAGGCAGCAGUAGGGAAUCUUCCGCAAUGGACGAAAGUCUGACGGAGCAACGCCGCGUUAGUGAUGAAGGCUUUCGGGUCGUAAAACUCUGUUGUUAAGGAAGAACAAGUGCUAGUUGAAUAAGCUGGCACCUUGACGGUACCUAACCAGAAAGCCACGGCUAACUACGUUGCAGCAGCCGCGGUAAUACGUAAGUGGCAAGCGUUAUCCGGAAUUAUUGGGCGU